UAUAAAAAGGUUAUGAACUUGAAAAUUAUACAACAGUUCCAAUAAGCUUCAUAGCGGAAAAGAGUUAUUUGAUUGUGGAAAAUAUGAAACUAAUUAAUUUAUUCCUUGUAGUCGCUUGUAUUGUUGCCAGUGCUAUGGCUACUCCGUCAAAUUAUAAUGCUCAAGGCGUUCUUAACACGGGAUUCUUUAAUCAAGGAGGAGUUGGAAAAUAAUAAAAAUUAUUGCAUUCACAUUUAUGACACUAAUAAAGAUUGAAAUAUAUUUAAUCCAA